AGAGUUUGAUCCUGGCUCAGAUUGAACGCUGGCGGCAUGCUUUACACAUGCAAGUCGAGCGGCAGCGCGGGGGCAACCCUGGCGGCGAGCGGCGAACGGGUGAGUAAUGCAUCGGAACGUGUCCUUUGGUGGGGGAUAACCUGGCGAAAGUCAGGCUAAUACCGCAUGAGCCCUAAGGGGGAAAGCGGGGGAUUCGCAAGAACCUCGCGCUGUUGGAGCGGCCGAUGUCCGAUUAGCUAGUUGGUGAGGUAAAGGCUCACCAAGGCGACGAUCGGUAGCUGGUCUGAGAGGAUGAUCAGCCACACUGGGACUGAGACACGGCCCAGACUUCUACGGGAGGCAGCAGUGGGGAAUUUUGGACAAUGGGGGCAACCCUGAUCCAGCCAUGCCGCGUGAGUGAAGAAGGCCUUCGGGUUGUAAAGCUCUUUUGGCGGGAACGAAAUGGGCGAGGCUAAUACCCUUGCUCGAUGACGGUACUCGCAGAAGAAGCACCGGCUAACUACGUGCCAGCAGCCGCGGUAAUACGUAGGGUGCGAGCGUUAAUCGGAAUUACUGGGCGUAAAGCGUGCGCAGGCGGUGUCGUAAGCCAGGCGUGAAAUCCCCGGGCUUAACCUGGGAAUUGCGUUUGGGACUGCGAUGCUUGAGUGUGGCAGAGGGAGGUGGAAUUCCACGUGUAGCAGUGAAAUGCGUAGAGAUGUGGAGGAACACCGAUGGCGAAGGCAGCCUCCUGGGCCAGCACUGACGCUCAUGCACGAAAGCGUGGGGAGCAAACAGGAUUAGAUACUCUGGUAGUCCACGCC
rnacentral:rRNA from 1 species